UACGAAGGGGGCUAGCGUUGUUCGGAAUCACUGGGCGUAAAGGGCACGUAGGCGGAUCUUUAAGUCAGGGGUGAAAUCCCGAGGCUCAACCUCGGAACUGCCUUUGAUACUGGGGAUCUCGAGUCCGGGAGAGGUGAGUGGAACUGCGAGUGUAGAGGUGAAAUUCGUAGAUAUUCGCAAGAACACCAGUGGCGAAGGCGGCUCACUGGCCCGGAACUGACGCUGAGGUGCGAAAGCGUGGGGAGCAAACAGG
rnacentral:rRNA from 1 species